rnacentral:lncRNA from 1 species
CUAUGGCUCGGUGGGAUGUUUUGGGUGGUUCCAAGGGUUUGGGACCACGGUGCUUAAGGUUGCUAAGUGUUGGGGCAAGUUGGGCGCGGAACGUUGCGAUGACGGGAAACGGGGCGCGCGGAACUGCUGGGCGGUUGCUGGUGCGCGCCAAAGACGUUGGGCAGUUGCCAACCGUUGAGGGCGGUUGCUGGGAGUUGCUGGCGGUUACCAGCAACUCAGCCUUGUUCCUAGCCGAUUCCUAGAUUCAUGGACGUUCAGUUAAAGACCAGCGGUUGGGUCUUUUGUCAACCGUAACAAGCCUAUAAAUAUUGGGCUAGGCAGAGACUAAAGGGCAGAGA